GUUAAUUGAAGGUCAGGUGUUUUUAGAGUUAAUCGAAGGACAGGUGUUUUAAGAGUUUAUUGAAGGACAGGUGUUUUGAGAGUUAAUUGAAGGACAGGUGUUAUGAGAGUAAAUUGAAGGACAGGUGUUUUAAGAGUUAAUUGAAGGACAGGUGUUUUGAGAGGUAAUUGAAGGACAGGUGUUUUGAGAGGUAAUUGAAGGACAGGUGUUUUGAGAG